rnacentral:lncRNA from 1 species
GCUUAAUGUACUUUCAGGAGCAAUGUGUCAGAGAAAGAUAGGACAAAGAAGUCAAACAUUAAAGCCCUUCCAUAUAUAUAUCAGAGGGCCUUAGAUGAUUACCAGAAAGCAUUAAUAUGGAAGUCUGUAGCAAAUUGAUUUUUUGAGUGACUCUAUUAGUUUGAGAUUUAAAAAAUUGUUUUAAUGUGCCUUGGGCAUCUUUCUAAUUUAUGCUCAGUGUUAACUUGGUCAGUUUACAUUGUAUUUAUUAAGCCUGCUGCAAAUCAAGUUUUAGGGAAGAAAAUAAAAGAUUAUUUUAGGAUAGAAUGGGCUAGAUGGCCUUUGAAGAACUUUGUUUACAUCAAAUUGAUGAAAUUUCAGAUAGUCAAGGAUUCCUUUCUGCUUGUGAUACUUGGAAAUUGACAAAGAGAAGUCUGAUUUCCAAAAUCAUUAACAUUUUAAAAAGUAGGUGUUCUUUGUUGGUUAAAAACAUUUUCUGUCUUGCAGAGUGUCCUAUUCCUUGAAGGAAGUAUAACAUAUCCUUAUGACACAGUUUCCUUUGUCCUUAUGUUUGAAGUAGUACUACAAAAUUUGUAGUAAAUGCAGAUUACUUUGUAAAACUUAAUAAAACAAAAAAGUUAUCAUUUGAUAUUGUGGCUUUUGUGUUGAAACCCUUAUUUGAAUUUACUGAGACUUUACAUUAGAAGAUACAUACACACGUAUGUAUGUAAAAGUUAACAACUGUGAAUCACUGCAUUAGGUUCACUUAAAAUGUUGGAGUUGCAAGUGU